rnacentral:rRNA from 1 species
UACGUAGGUGGCAAGCGUUGUUCGGAUUUACUGGGCGUAAAGGGCGCGUAGGCGGCCACCGCAAGUCGGUUGUGAAAUCUCUGGGCUUAACCCAGAAAGGUCAACCGAUACUGCGGGGCUAGAGUGCAGAAGGGGCAACUGGAAUUCUCGGUGUAGCGGUGAAAUGCGUAGAUAUCGAGAGGAACACCUGCGGCGAAGGCGGGUUGCUGGGCUGACACUGACGCUGAAGCGCGAAAGCGUAGGGGAGCGAAACGGGAUUAGAACC